rnacentral:rRNA from 1 species
UACGAAGGGGGCUAGCGUUACUCGGAUUGACUGGGCGUAAAGGGCGCGUAGGCGGUUCGUACAGUCAGACGUGAAAUUCCUGGGCUCAACCUGGGGGCUGCGUUUGAUACGUGCGGGCUUGAGUUCGGAAGAGGGUCGUGGAAUUCCCAGUGUAGAGGUGAAAUUCGUAGAUAUCUGGAGGAACACCGGUGGCGAAGGCGGCAUCCUGGACCGGCAUUGACGCUGAGGCGCGAAAGCCAGGGGAGCAAACGGG